rnacentral:rRNA from 1 species
UACGGGGGGGGCGAGCGUUGUUCGGAUUCAUUGGGCGUAAAGGGUGCGUAGGCGGCGCGGUAAGUCGGGUGUGAAAUCUCGGAGCUUAACUCCGAAACUGCAUUCGAUACUGCCGUGCUUGAGGACUGGAGAGGAGACUGGAAUUUACGGUGUAGCGGUGAAAUGCGUAGAUAUCGUAAGGAAGACCAGUGGCGAAGGCGGGUCUCUGGACAGUUCCUGACGCUGAGGCACGAAGGUCAGGGGAGCAAACGGG